AGUGAACGCUGGCGGUAGGCCUAACACAUGCAAGUCGAACGGCAGCACAGUAAGAGCUUGCUCUUACGGGUGGCGAGUGGCGGACGGGUGAGGAAUACAUCGGAAUCUACUUUUUCGGGGGGGAUAACGUAGGGAAACUUACGCUAAUACCGCAUACGACCUACGGGUGAAAGCAGGGGAUCUUCGGACCUUGCGCGAUUGAAUGAGCCGAUGUCGGAUUAGCUAGUUGGCGGGGUAAAGGCCCACCAAGGCGACGAUCCGUAGCUGGUCUGAGAGGAUGAUCAGCCACACUGGAACUGAGACACGGUCCAGACUCCUACGGGAGGCAGCAGCAGGGAAUAUUGCGCAAAGGGCGCAAGCCUGACGCAGCAACGCCGCGUGAGUGAUGAAGGCCUUCGGGUUGUAAAGCCCUUUUGUUAGGGAAGAAAAACAGCAGGAUAAUCCCCCGACGUUCUGACGGUACCUAAACAGUAAGCACCGGCUAACUUCGUG
rnacentral:rRNA from 1 species